rnacentral:rRNA from 1 species
GAUGAACGCUGGCGGCGUGCCUAAUACAUGCAAGUCGAGCGAACGGACGAGAAGCUUGCUUCUCUGAUGUUAGCGGCGGACGGGUGAGUAACACGUGGAUAACCUACCUAUACGACUGGGAUAACUUCGGGAAACCGGAGCUAAUACCGGAUAAUAUUUUGAACCGCAUGGUUCAAAAGUGAAAGACGGUCUUGCUGUCACUUAUAGAUGGAUCCGCGCUGCAUUAGCUAGUUGGUAAGGUAACGGCUUACCAAGGCAACGAUGCAUGGCCGACCUGAGAGGGUGAUCGGCCACACUGGAACUGAGACACGGUCCAGACUCCUACGGGAGGCAGCAGUAGGGAAUCUUCCGCAAUGGGCGAAAGCCUGACGGAGCAACGCCGCGUGAGUGAUGAAGGUCUUCGGAUCGUAAAACUCUGUUAUUAGGGAAGAACAUAUGUGUAAGUAACUGUGCACAUCUUGACGGUACCUAAUCAGAAAGCCACGGCUAACUACGUGCCAGCAGCCGCGGUAAUACGUAGGUGGCAAGCGUUAUCCGGAAUUAUUGGGCGUAAAGCGCGCGUAGGCGGUUUUUUAAGUCUGAUGUGAAAGCCCACGGCUCAACCGUGGAGGGUCAUUGGAAACUGGAAAACUUGAGUGCAGAAGAGGAAAGUGGAAUUCCAUGUGUAGCGGUGAAAUGCGCAGAGAUAUGGAGGAACACCAGUGGCGAAGGCGACUUUCUGGUCUGUAACUGACGCUGAUGUGCGAAAGCGUGGGGAUCAAACAGGAUUAGAUACCCUGGUAGUCCACGCCGUAAACGAUGAGUGCUAAGUGUUAGGGGGUUUCCGCCCCUUAGUGCUGCAGCUAACGCAUUAAGCACUCCGCCUGGGGAGUACGACCGCAAGGUUGAAACUCAAAGGAAUUGACGGGGACCCGCACAAGCGGUGGAGCAUGUGGUUUAAUUCGAAGCAACGCGAAGAACCUUACCAAAUCUUGACAUCCUUUGACAACUCUAGAGAUAGAGCCUUCCCCUUCGGGGGACAAAGUGACAGGUGGUGCAUGGUUGUCGUCAGCUCGUGUCGUGAGAUGUUGGGUUAAGUCCCGCAACGAGCGCAACCCUUAAGCUUAGUUGCCAUCAUUAAGUUGGGCACUCUAAGUUGACUGCCGGUGACAAACCGGAGGAAGGUGGGGAUGACGUCAAAUCAUCAUGCCCCUUAUGAUUUGGGCUACACACGUGCUACAAUGGACAAUACAAAGGGCAGCGAAACCGCGAGGUCAAGCAAAUCCCAUAAAGUUGUUCUCAGUUCGGAUUGUAGUCUGCAACUCGACUACAUGAAGCUGGAAUCGCUAGUAAUCGUAGAUCAGCAUGCUACGGUGAAUACGUUCCCGGGUCU